UGAAAUGACAAUGAGACAAGAGAUCGUGGUUGA
rnacentral:sRNA from 1 species